rnacentral:rRNA from 1 species
GGAAAGGUAAACAUUAUCGGCCUAGCAGUUAAUAGUGAUUGUUUAUUAAAAUGUUAAUUUUUAGGUGAAAUUUUAAUUUUCUAAUACUUAUGUUGUAUGAGGCUGUGAAAUUUAUGUUAAAAACAAGGAUUAGAUACCCUUUUAUUGUAAAUGUUAAUUUUUAGGUCAGGGUAGUAUUAGUUAUGUUCUUGAAACCCAAAGAAUUUGGCGGUAUUUUAGUCCUUUCAGAGGAAUCUGUCCUGUAAUCGACUUUCCACGAGAUUAAGAACUUGAAUUUGUUUAUCAGUUUGUAUACCUCCGUCAUAAGAGAAUCUUUUUAGAGUUAAAAUUUUCUUAUUAUAUUAAGGAUAAUAUGUCAAGUCAAGGGGCAAUUGAUGAAUAAGUUGAGAUGGAUCACAAUAAAUUUAUUUAGGCGGAAUAAAUUAUUUAGUUUUUUAUGAAGAUGGAUUAGAUAGUAAUUUUAAUUAUCUAGUAUUAUGAUCUGGGCUCUAAAAUAUGCCACACAUCGCCCGUCGCUCUCAUUAUUAAGGUGAGAUAAGUCGUAACAUAGUAGGUGUAUCGGAAGAUGUAUCUAGAAAGU